UUUAUUCGAAACAUGAACACUGGACAAAUAAAAAUCGAAUCAAAGUCUUCGCUGAUAAAAAAUAAUAAUCAUACAAAUAAUGUAGAGAGUUCUGGAUUUCAAGUCUGCACUAGCUGGAAGUGGAAUGAAAAAAGAAACAAAAGAUCGAGUCCAGACUCCAUGUGGUUUACACCACCUCUGUAAGACUGAAAAACAUGUCUACAUACAACUUUAUCUCAACUAUAAAUUAAUAUUAAGAACUCUGCCGGGGCUGUACCUGCAACGACAUAAAAUAAACAAAACAUGAUCUAAGAUUCAAAAGCAAACUGAAACCAAAUGGUAGUGAUGGUUUACCAGUCCAUUAACCAGUAAGCUGCUAAUGGUUUAACCAGUCCAUUAACCAGUAAGCUGCUGAUGGUUUAACCAUCCAUUAACCAGUAAGCUGCUGAUGGUUUAACCAGUCCAUAAACCAGUAAGAUCCACCUAAACUCAUCUUCUUACAUAGACUUU